CAAAGAUUAAGCCAUGCAUGUCUCAGUGCAAGCCGAAUUAAGGUGAAACCGCGAAAGGCUCAUUAAAUCAGCUAUGGUUCCUUAGAUGGUACGCACGGUUACUUGGAUAACUGUGGCAAUUCUAGAGCUAAUACAUGCAAAUUGAGUUCCGACCGCUUCGCAGGCGGAAGGAAUGCUUUUAUUAGAUCAAAACCAAUCGGACCCUCCGCCGCGGGUCCGUCACGUUUUGGUGACUCUGGAUAACUUGUGGCUGAUCGCACGGUCCCGCACCGGCGACGCAUCUUUCAAAUGUCUGACUUAUCAACUUUCGAUGGUAGGUUCUGCGCCUACCAUGGUUGUAACGGGUAACGGGGAAUCAGGGUUCGAUUCCGGAGAGGGAGCCUGAGAAACGGCUACCACAUCCAAGGAAGGCAGCAGGCGCGCAAAUUACCCACUCCCGGCACGGGGAGGUAGUGACGAAAAAUAACGAUGCAGAACUCUUUCCGAGGCUCUGCAAUCGGAAUGAGCACACUCUAAAUCAUUUAACGAGUAUCCAUUGGAGGGCAAGUCUGG
rnacentral:rRNA from 1 species